rnacentral:rRNA from 1 species
GACAGAGGCCACGAGCGUUGUUCGGAAUCACUGGGCAUAAAGCGCACGUAGGCGGCUAGGUCCGUCCGAUGUGAAAGCCCCCGGCUCAACCGGGGAAUUGCAUCGGAUACAGCCUGGCUUGAGGACGGUUGGGGUGAGUGGAACUCCUGGUGGAGCGGUGAAAUGCGUAGAUAUCAGGAGGAACACCGGUGGCGAAAGCGGCUCACUGGACCGUUUCUGACGCUGAGGUGCGAAAGCUAGGGGAGCAAACGGG